CGUAGCCCGGUGGUACUCUGAAACGUGAAUACAAUAGUUGCAAUUAUCAUAGAACGCGAUUGCCAGCGAAUGAAAAAGGGGAUGGAAGGAAACAAUAUUGGAAAAGGAAAGCGCAAAAGGAAGCGAAUCCUGUUUCGCAGAGACAGCCCUGAACUUUUUAACGGAUCGAUAACGGCUAGUGUCCAG